CAAAGGGUGGCCCAACGAAUGGGCGAUCCCUGUCGUUCGCCUCUCUCUCGAUCCUCUCUCCACCUCUCGGCCGCCGGCAAAUUCCGGCCGCUGCCGGCGGUCUCCGGCGCCGCCCAGCACUCCCUCGAGGUCUCCUCGAUCCGGUCUAUCUCCUCCACCCACUCGAUUCGACGCUCGCCUCCUCGUCCUGCGCUCGUGGCUAACCCUAGCCGCAACUGUCGCCGGCACGGCUCCGACGCCUCCUGGCGCUCCUCCACGCCUCUCCCGCGACACCGAGGCCGUCGAACGCGAGGGCAUGUACUCCCGGCUGCUGUGGUGCUUCUCGAUCUGCGCUCUGUUGAGAGGAGUCAGCCCCCAUAUGGUUCUGCACCAAGGUCAGGGGACGCUCGGCCACUGUCAUUUUCUUCGCCGUGGCCCCCAAGGCCGGCAAGGAGGUCUCAGGCAUGCUCGAGGCCACCGCCAGAUGGAGCAUGCCAUCGCCACCAUUCUUCCUACUUCGUAACCGGUCCUCUGCCCAUCCCCUCUUCUCCCCACGGGAUAGCCAGCAGCCCACCUUGUGCUUGAGUCGUGGAGAGGCAGGCAGCAGGUGUGGAUGAGGAGAUCCACCACAGACGACGCGAGGUGAGAUGGAAAAAAUAUGCAAGGUCAGAUGUGGAUAGGGUAGGGGGCUCUGCCGUCACCGCAGAUAGAGGAGGCAACAAUAUUUUCUGUGACUUCUCGCUUACUGCUGCUACUGCAAGUUGUUGGCUUGUCCAUGCUGCUGGUGCUGAUGCGGACACUGUGGCCGCCGUUUCCUCUGCACACCCAUUGGCCAUCCCAGAGAACUCGUCGAAGAUAAUCCAUGCCAUCGCGUGGGAUCGAUCUCCAUCGUCCUCGUCCUAUAGGAGCGAGCUGGGAGCAAGCUCGAACAGUUUGUCGUGGACAGAGAAGAGUGAGACUAAUAAGAGGCAUAUAUUCGAUGACUACGGUGGGAUGAAGUUGGGAAGUCACUCGCAGACGUUAGGGAAAUUGUAUGCCCGGGAGAAGAAACUGUAUGAAGAAGUCAAGGCCAUAGAUCAAAUCUGACAAGAGAAGAAAUGUGUGCAGCUGAGGAACCAAGACGCCAAAGGUGCAUAGCAACACUGUGCUGGAAAAACCAGGACAAAUGUAAGAGACAUGUACACAAGGAUCUGGGUUUCUCUACGAGGAGCAGAAUCGAGAUCUGAUAGACUAUAAAAAUUACGGGACGGGGAGCUCAGUGUCAAGAACAACACCCAGGUUAGUUUGGUGUUCUUUCAUGUAUUGAGACCUCAGCUCAGCAACGACCAGUUUUCUGCAGUAUUACUCACUGCCUCUCUUCAUACUUUUUUGAAUUGAAUGCCUGCCUGUGUUUCUCCUCCUUGCGCUGGCUAAAAUACUAAUCAACUUAGUUGCAUGUUGAACUGUAAUUUCGUGGAUUGCCUUUGGUGGUGAUGCAUUGUGUUUUGUCCUCUUAGUAUGCAAAGUUAAGUGCACCGUCACGUAAUAUAUGAGUAAUUAACCAUGGUUUAGGAAGUUUCAAGAGGUUCAGAAAGCUUAUGAGGUACUUGAUUUUUGUUCAACAUGGAUGCUCAUAGAUACAUUUUUGCCUCUUCUCUGUAUACUUUGAAGAAUGAAGAAAAAGAACGCUCUAUGAUUAGGUAACAAUUUAAUCCCUCCGAUUAUAGACGUCUAUGGCCGUUUCUUUCUGUAUGUUCAUGAGAUACAAAGAAUUAAUUGAUUGAAACUUAAGAUAAUUAGACAACAAUACAUUUUGAGUAUAUUUUGUACAGGACAAAGGAGGAGGUUAAUUCCAUUUCUUGUAUCAAUGGAAUGAUGUACGGAAACGCCGUCUUUCCGGUAUUUGUGUUUCGGAAAUGCCCUCUUACAUGUUAUUUUACUUUUAGUCCAACAUGUAGCUGCUCGUGAUCGAUGCGCUUACUAUUACUGUUUUUCGUGUUUGCUUCUCUCACAAAAUAGGGGUUGCCAGUUUGAGUACCUUCUCAAAGUAUGCUACUGAAUCUAUCUAUGGUAAGUCUGCAACCUAGAAUUUGCUACUGCCUACCACAUGUACAAUGGUUUCAUCAAGAAUAAUUGUGCCCUACGCGGUAGAAUGCCCUUACACUUUCAGAUUUAGCAGUAGUUAGAGAAAUAUAAAUAUCAGGUAGCUUGACUACUUUGACACAUAGGUGAGAUUAAAAAAAAUACAACUGCUGAAACUCUUUUUGCGCUAUACGAGGUGGUAUUCAGUUCCUUUGGAUUGCAUGGUAAAAACUAAAAACAUCUCUUGCUUCAGAAUAACAUGAUCAUUCUUCAUGAAGUGCGUCCUAGGGAUAACUCCGCUCUCCCACGCAGCCACACCAACGUCACCUUGAGGGAGGAGUGGGUGGGAGGAGAAGGCGGCGCCGGCGGUUUCAAUCUGUGAUCUGCCUUGGCGCGGCAGGCGGUGAAUCGGUCCGGUCAAAAUGGCAAGGUCACAACGGCUCAUCUACAUGCGACAUACUCUUUCCUCCGAUGUCUACGGUGAUGACCACUACUUCUGCGACGCCUGUGAGAGUGACGCGGUCUGCAUCGAGGGUUAUUACAAUGGCAUAGAUGAGCAGCUGCUCGAGCAGGCGAUGAUGAAGGCGAGCGUCGACUCGGUGGGGGGUGGCGGAUGGCGGUGAGGAUGCAGGGUUGAACGUGAAAGCUAACUAAUUCAUUGCAAAGUUCUACGCAUAGAUGAAACUGCAGCAACAAUCAUCGUUGGAGCAUCUGCUAGAUACAUAGUGUUUAGAUUGUUUGUUUAUUUGUUGACUUUGAUUCACUUUUAGAGAAGCCACUGGAUGUGCAAUUGUAACAUGUAACCAACUAUAAUGACUGCUGACUUUA